rnacentral:pre_miRNA from 1 species
UCUUAUGGAUGAGCAAACAAAGUAAUUUCUUGAGCUGGAAUCUACUCCCGGUGAAGAUGUUAGGAA